rnacentral:rRNA from 1 species
UACGAAGGGGGCUAGCGUUGCUCGGAAUUACUGGGCGUAAAGGGCGCGUAGGCGGACAGUUAAGUCGAGAGGUGAAAGCCCAGGGCUCAACCCUGGAAUUGCCUUUGAUACUGGCUGUCUUGAGUGCGGGAGAGGUGUGUGGAACUCCGAGUGUAGAGGUGAAAUUCGUAGAUAUUAGGAAGAACACCGGUGGUCGAAGGCGGCCCACUGGUCCGGUACUGACGCUGAGGUGCGAAGCGUGG